CUCAUCCAAAUCAAGGAGGCAGCAUAGCCGCCCACAGCUUUGGCAUUGGCCUGGGUACUAUAUUCCUUAAAGUUUUGACCUGGACUGUGUCAUUGCUGACCCUUCUAAAAAUGGUGAAUCUGAGGCUCAGAGAGAUGAUGAUUGUCCAAUGACCCAAAGCGAGGAAGUAGCAGACACAGGGAUAGAACCCAUCUGUCCUGUCUUCCAGGGCACUGCCCCCUCCACUGCACCAGCUGGGGAGUAUCUUCAUUCUUAUCUGGAGCAGCCCAUGAGAAUCCAGAAAUUUCUAGUUCAACAAAUAUUUAUUGAGCACAUCCUACGUACAAAGGGGAGAAGGCAUGGUUCCUACCCGCAACUCACUAGCUUACCAUCUCAUGGAAAGGGUGAGUAUUUACUUAAGUAUAAUUAAAGACAACACAUGUAAAAUAUACUGAGAGGAGUGCCAAAAUUUUGCUAGGUGUGGUUUCGAAAAAGAGAAGCACUGUAUCCAAUCUGAGGGAGUCAAGAAAAAAGAACAUUUCAAAUAGAAGGAACUAAGGUGCAGAGGCUGAAUGGAACGGAAUAUGAACUAUGGAGAGAUUCAAUGGGAAGAUCAGGAAAGCCACGCUGUGCACGGCUCCAAGGCCGGGCUUCUGAGUUUACGGCCAAAUUCACUUAACGAAAUUGAUCACGUCCAUUUUCACCACGCCCUUCACUGGGCCCAGAGUUUGCAUUUUUCUAAGAACUUCAAGUCAUCAACAGCUUGAGCCUCCACAAAAACAACUCGUGGUAAAAGGUACCAGUGAGAAGGAAAGAUGACAGCAAGACGGUUUCCGUGACUACAACCACGGUGAGCAGGCUGCGUCUCUGGGGAAAGACGAGAAAGAGCUUCUCGGCCACAGGUGCAACUGCAGCCGCACCCACCGCUCCAUCUCAAGAAAUAGCUGGUGGCAGCAUCCAAGCUGGUCUGACCCCUGCCAAGAGGCACGCACUCGGAGUGCAGGUCCGUAGCUAGACCCAAGAGAGCAAAACUUCAGUGGAAAUCCAGACCGUCACAGGGAAACCUGCACAGAAGGGAGGGGCCUUGGGCCUAAAAGCAUUUCCUUCUCUCCCCACCUGAAGACCAGUUAGGGAACUAGUGAAUGAUUUACAACUAGACUAUUUAUAAAAGGAGCACAUUAACCUUCUGGAUCACUCAUCCACAAUAAAUGAUGAAAACCCAGUUGAAAUGCAAGAUUCCAGAAGGCUUAAAAGAUGGCAGUAACAUUAAUAACUGUGAUUCUCUUUUUUUAACCUUUGCCUAAAUUCAGACUUUAAAGAAUUUAGCCCUGUUAAAUGAAAAGCUGGCAUUUUCUCAGACAAGCUUGAAGCUCAUUAACGUAAGAUGAUAGUUCAAAGUAAGUACUCAGGUAAAGAAGGGGAGCGCUAGAUGCCUCACUGUAUCAGAAUCCUAGACCUACCUCUCUCCCCUCUUCUUCCCCCAUCCUAUAAAGCAAUGGAAAGUGGCAAAGUCAGGUCACUCGUUUGCAAAUGAUCCUGCUUUAAGAAUGCAGGAGAAAUGUUAAAAUGAUUAAUUUAGCAAACUCAUUGGAAAGAAGUUUGCGUUUGUGAGUUCUGCUGAGUUAAACUGUUUUCAAUUAACAUCGUUUUUCGACUACACUGAUUUGGAGACAGGCUUGGAAUAUUUAUCUUUCUUUUCCCAGCAGGAACUGCUUCUUGUGGUUAUUUCAUUAACAAUUAUGAGUCUAAAAUCAAUUGACUAAUAUGAAAUGUCGGGGGGCAGAAAUUGGGACCUGCAGGGUGA